AGUUAAUUAGCUUACCUAAGCAUUUGUUUUGAAAACAAAAGAAAGAGAAUUCUCUAUUAACUU
rnacentral:tRNA from 1 species